GCUGCGCGGCGCUAAAGGGCCGACGCGGGGCGCCGUGGAAUUUAUUGGCGCGCGUUUCGGCCUUCUAGAUGUAAACGAAAAUGUGUAACGCCCGGCGUGGCCGUCGAGGCGUGCACGGGGACCGAGUCGCCUCCCCUAAAAGGGCGCCUAUCCUGUCGAUGGAGUAGAGGAGGAAGAAGAAGAAGAAACGCAGCAUCGGUGCGAGAGGGGGGGAGAGGCAGGAUGAGUGGCGAUCGGAUUUAAAGGGGGCCGCUGAUCGACCAACAAGUGGUGGCGGCGCCUUCAAAGGAUCCUUCCACCUUGCUCUUUCGCUUCUGCCCAGUGCAUCCUGUCUCUGUUCCCCUGUUUCUAUCUCGUUCUGUUCUGGCGGUCGGGUGACAAUCGGGUCGCCAAGGUAUUUUCUCCUAAAAUACCCACACCUAUAGUUCUCCCCAUUAGAUUAGAUGCCGCGGCGCACGAAAAAGAGACUCGCCUAACUCGACACGGACGCGAAACCACCCGACAACAGGGGAAAAAAGGAAGAAGAAGGGGGAACAAGACUACUCUCCUGCUUAAUGAUGUGCCGCGCUAGCGAUCCGCGCUCGACGCGCCACCGCUGCGCUGUUUCUUUCUAACUGUGGAAUAGGGAUUUUUGUGUACUCGGACAUCCACUUUUCGAAUUGAUUUUAAAUUCUAUCAAUUUCUGAACGGAUGAAAAUUCAAAAGUGUACAAUUUAGUAAUGGAUUUGUUACUAAAAAUUUGAAAUUUCUUAAAUGUGCUACUGAGGUAAGAGAACGUUUCUGUGGAUAAAUAAAGAAGUUUUCGUUUAAUAGAGAAAUUUGGUGUGAUUAUCUUAAAAAGGACAUUUAGUGCUUGAAAUAUAAAUUGAGAUCUAUUUUGAGGUUAUGAUACUGCGAGAAGUAUAUUUAUAAUUUUUAUACGUGAAUUAUAGAAAAUUUAAUAAAUAAUAAAAAUUUUGUUU